GACUAAUUAAUAUUUUUAAUAUUUUAUUUUGGUUUAUUACAGAUGGAUCUGACUAGGGUGGGUCAAAUGUUGGAAGCAUUGUGCAGCGAGUGCUGAGUGAAACACAGCUCUUGGCCAAUUCACCAACACAGCGCUGGGUCUGCCUCAAAGGCAUUGCGUUUUAUCUGCUCACACCUUCUCUCAGGAAAGAAAGGAAAAAAGCAUUAUUUGUACCCACUGACUCUGCCUUGGAAGACCUCUUGCCUCACGUGGAGAAUUGCUUUGCUUCGUUGUGGGGAGAAUGUCGUGAAGAGAUUACAAUGUGGAACAGUCAUUUGGAUUUAGGAAAAGCCGGAAGUAGCCGUGAUGACAGAUCCAAUGAAUAACGUGGAUAAGGACAUGAUGUGAUGUUUUUCCAAACCUGUCUCUCACAAGGAUAUUACUUUAGGAUAAUCACUCCUCCUAAAAUCACUCCGGAAAGAGGACUUCUAGAGCUGCUUCCGAAAGUGGCAAGAACGGUGGGGUAAGUGUGCUUCAAAGUAAAGAGAGUAUUUUGAAGGAGAUGAAUGGCAAUGCGUCUUUGACUGUAAUAAAUGUUUCCCUUUAAGCAUGCAGCAUAUGUUUUGAUCAGCCAUCAUAUAUGUUUAUUUUCUGUAUCUGUUGGUGGGCAUGGCUAAAGUGAAAACUGAUGUAAGUACAUGGGUGUGGACAGAUUUCUAGAUACAUAUAAAUUACCAAGUUUGAACGAAGAAGAUAUAAAAAUUCUAAACACCCCCCAAUUACAAUCAGUGAAAUUGAAAACAUAAUUAAAAAUUUACCAACAAAGAAAAGCCCAG
rnacentral:lncRNA from 1 species